AAGGGGUGGAAAAGAGCGGACAGGGCUUGUGUCCCUGCUACUUUCACGGCUGGCCUCCCGACUGCACCCCUGACUCACACUAGGCCGAGGAAUGCGGCUGCCUCGUGCUAGUAUGAUUCAGGGUACAGACAAACAGCAGCACAGAAGGGAGAAGACAUAAGAAAAGAAAGCAACAUGCUG